rnacentral:rRNA from 1 species
GGCCUUCGGAUUGUAAAGUACUGUCUUUGGGGAAGAACGGUGGGUUUGAGAAUAUUGAGUCCACAUGACGGUACCCAAGGAGGAAGCCCCGGCUAACUACGUGCCAGCAGCCGCGGUAAUACGUAGGGGGCAAGCGUUGUCCGGAAUUAUUGGGCGUAAAGGGCGCGUAGGCGGAUGCUUAAGUCCGGUGUGAAAGAUCAGGGCUCAACCCUGAGAGUGCAUCGGAAACUGGGUAUCUUGAGGACAGGAGAGGAAAGUGGAAUUCCACGUGUAGCGGUGAAAUGCGUAGAUAUGUGGAGGAACACCAGUGGCGAAGGCGACUUUCUGGACUGUAACUGACGCUGAGGCGCGAAAGCGUGGGGAGCAAACAGGAUUAGAUACCCUGGUAGUCCACGCCGUAAACGAUGAGUGCUAGGUGUAGAGGGUAUCGACCCCUUCUGUGCCGCAGUUAACACAAUAAGCACUCCGCCUGGGGAGUACGGCCGCAAGGUUGAAACUCAAAUGAAUUGACGG